rnacentral:rRNA from 1 species
ACGAACGCUGGCGGCGUGCCUAAUACAUGCAAGUCGAACGGUCUUUCUAUGGAAGCUUGCUUCCACUGAGAAGAUAGUGGCGAACGGGUGAGUAACGACGUGGGUAACCUGCCCAUAAGAGGGGGGAUAACAUCCGGAAACGGGUGCUAAUACCGCAUAGUUUUCUUGAUCGCAUGAUUGAGAAAGGAAAGACGGCCUUUGUGCUGUCGCUUAUGGAUGGACCCGCGGCGUAUUAGUUAGUUGGUGAGGUAACGGCUCACCAAGACGAUGAUACGUAGCCGACCUGAGAGGGUGAUCGGCCACAUUGGGACUGAGACACGGCCCAAACUCCUACGGGAGGCAGCAGUAGGGAAUCUUCCGCAAUGGACGAAAGUCUGACGGAGCAACGCCGCGUGAGUGAAGAAAAGGUUUUCGGAUCGUAAAACUCUGUUGUCAGAGAAGAACAAGUUGGAGAGUAACUGCUCCAGCCUUGACGGUAUCUGACCAGAAAGCCACGGCUAACUACGUGCCAGCAGCCGC